rnacentral:rRNA from 1 species
UACGUAGGGGGCAAGCGUUGUCCGGAAUCAUUGGGCGUAAAGAGCGCGUAGGCGGCCCUGUAAGUCCGCUGUGAAAGUCAAGGGCUCAACCCUUGGAUGCCGGUGGAUACUGCAGGGCUAGAGUCCGGAAGAGGCGAGUGGAAUUCCUGGUGUAGCGGUGAAAUGCGCAGAUAUCAGGAGGAACACCGAUGGCGAAGGCAGCUCGCUGGGACGGUACUGACGCUGAGGCGCGAAAGCCGUGGGGAGCAAACAGG